rnacentral:rRNA from 1 species
ACGAACGCUGGCGGCGUGCUUAACACAUGCAAGUCGAACGAUGAAGAAAAGAAUUGAAGCUUCGGCAGAAAUUCAUUUCGGAUUAGUGGCAGACGGGUGAGUAACGCGUGAGCAACCUACCUCUUACAAAGGGAUAGCCUCGGGAAACCGGGAUUAAUACCAUAUAACAUUGCGACGAAGCAUUUCGAUGCAAUCAAAGCUACGGCGGUAAGAGAUGGGCUCGCGUCCCAUUAACCAGAUGGUGAGGUAACGGCUCACCAUAGUAACGAUGGGUAACCGGCCUGAGAGGGUGAACGGUCACACUGGAACUGAGACACAGUCCAGACUCCUACGGGAGGCAGCAGUGGGGAAUAUUGCACAAUGGAGGGAACUCUGAUGCAGCGACGCCGCGUGAGUGAUGAAGGAAUUCGUUUCGUAAAACUCUGUUCUAUGGGAAGAAAAGGACUGUACCAUAGGAGAAAGCUCCGGCUAAAUACGUG